UAGGAGGCCAGAGUAUAUAAGGCCUCUCUCUUGAACCUUCUAGGUCUUUGGUUUUCCCUCCCCUUAAUAGGCCUGGCCAGCUGAGCUGUGCCUUACUUGGACCUCCUUGUGGCACUGACCUCGCCUCUGGAUGUGUGACCCUGGCUUGUUUGAACCAUGCUGUGCUAUCAACCCUGCUCCCCUCUGUGGAUGUUUUGCUUAUUCUUCCUGCGCUAGGCCCUUUGCCCCGAGGACAUUUGCUGGAGUGUAAUAGCAGGCUCCAAAAAUAAGGCCUGUCUGGAUGCUUGAUCUGGCCACAGAACAGUCUUGCACCUGGGUGUGUGUCUUUUCAAGCCAAGAACUGGCUGCCUCCCUUUGAAUCUGUCAUGCGUUGCCAACCUGUGGCACCGACUGCCGAAGAUGUUUUGCCUGAGGAAGAGGAGCGAUGAAGAGAAGGCCUCAAGAGGACCAGAAACCGAGACGAGCGCACACAACUCUUAAGCUUGGAGAUGUCUGGUCUGCUGGAAUCUCUCCCUGGAUAUUCUGGGCUUCAUCUGAGCUUUGCAGGUGGGAAAAUAAGUCUCUGUCAUGUGAAAAAAAUAGCUAAAUACCCACACUAUAAGGCUGUGUUUUUAACAGAGGCCAGCAGCACUGACAUGGUGAUUAGCACCCAUCAAAAGGUUUUUGGGGGGCACCUGAUCAAUGCACACCAGGCACCUUCCUGCCGGUUUGGGCACCUCAGCAUUGGCUGACUCCCACUGUAAAGCUGCACGAAUCAGGCUAUACGUAUAUAUCUUUUAAAUCACUGGAACCGAGGAGCAGUUUGCAGGGCGCUACAGUGAGCACGCGUGCGUGUGAGAGGGAGAGAAGAUUUCCUGUGGCACAUCUAGUGGGAUAGAAAAGUAACAACAGCUUGGUGAGUCUCUGAGGCCGUGGAGAGCAGCUGGGGGCACCUGGGCGGGCUUCCGCUCCUCUGGGCUUCUGCAGCCUUCGUGCCCCGGAGGCUGCUGCGGUGACCAGGCCGUCUUGCAGGCAUUCCUCCAGCCCACAGCUCUAGUGGGUGAGGCAUUCGGGAUCCUAACGGGCAGGAGGCCCUGCAGCCACGCCCAGGGUGUUUUGGCGGAGGCACCUGUCCCGUCCCGCCUGGCACACUCUCCGCCUGCCAAAUAGAUACUUGUUCUACCAGCUGGGUUGUGCGAUAAGGAUCACGCCGGGAGCAGUGGGAGCGAUAGGGCGUGUGUGCGGACAAUUGCUCAGCUGCUCGGUGCAGCAGUUCCCGAACGGGGGAGCCAUAAGCCAGCAUCCAAGAAAGCCUAAACUCUGCCUCGAAACUGGCCACUCUAAUUCCUCAGUCAUGCUGGCCUCGGAUAUCUGGCCUUUGCAGAGCUCACACCAGAAGAGCCUUGCCAGAUCAGGUUAUCUAUUCCUGCAUCCUGCAGCUUCCCACAGUGGCCAGCCAGAUGCCUUUGGGACAGGGCCGGCCCUAUCAUUAGGCAGAGAGAGGCAGCUCCCUCCGUGGCAACAGCAACAGCCCCGGCUCUUCUCCAGAGCUUCCCCAUCUCGGUUUCCACACAGCCUGUUCUGGACCCUUUCAUCAGACCCGUUGCCUCAGGUGUGGUAGAGCAUGUCCUCCCAUCGCCUGUGUUGAAGCAAGACGUGGUGGAGGGGAGGCUCAUCUGGUGCUUUGCCCCAGGUAGCAAAAUGUCUUGGAGUGGCCCUGCUCUGGGACGCUCACAUGCAGGACCUGAGUGCAACAGCACCCUCACCCGUGUCAUGCCCAGCAACUGGCAUUCCCAGGCAAGCUGCCUCUGACCUGGAAGCACAGACACAGCCAUUGUGGCUAGUAGCCACUGGCAACCUUCUCCUUCCUGAGGAGUUUCUGGAAUCCCCUUCUAAAACUGUCCAGGUUGGUAACCAUCACUACCUCUUGUGGCAGUGAGUUCCAUCAUUCAACUGCACAGUUUUUAACUGUGCAGUCACGCGCCGUGAACAAUGUAGGGCCCCCUCCCGGCUGGUGUGUUACUGCAGAUUUAUUGCGCAAACAUGGGACAAUGAAACAGACCUGAACAAGUGUGGCAUUUAAAGUUAUGAGGUCGCAGCAAGAGGUUACAGGAUGUGCGCUGACUGGAAAGGAAGCCGUGUCUGGAGGAGCCCCGGAUGCGACUGGGAAGAACGUCCUGAUGUCGAAGAGGCUGCCUUGGGGGGUGCCGAACUGUUUGUCUUCUUUUGCUUCAGCUGCAGAGCGGCUGUGAGAGGAGGGGGCCCCUGGCAAGGGCCUCUCCAGGCCUGGCACUCCAGGUGGCUGCCUGGGUCCCCUGCCCCAAAAUGUGGCCUUUCCUCACACACACCCCCUGACAUUAACGCUGGAAGGGUCGGUCAGUUUUGGCCCUCCCAAUAUCUCAUUUUUCUUUUUCCUUUUUUAAUAAGCAGUUUUAUUGUUUAUUCUCUAAUCUUGAAUUUGCUUCUCCAGAUUCCUG